CAUGAAGUACGCUCUGAGCCCAACAGGGCGCCAUUUUGGCUACUGUAGAUAUGGCGCAGUAACAUGGCGGACUCUGUGGAAGAGGACCCAAUCCCUAUGUAUAUGGUGAGCGCACUAUCAGCUAUCGGAAAUGCAAUGAUUCAUGAUUGCAGAAUCACUGAGCCAAUGAGCCACCUCUUUCUGCUGCCCCUGUUGUUCCAUAGUGGAGACCCCUGCUGUGUGGAGCUACCAGACACAUCAGGCUGAUGGCAUCUAAUGGUGUCAAAUAACACUGACCCCUCGACCAUACAGCAAGUUAGACUCUCCUCAUGGUGACAACUGACCUCAGCCGAUGUAUUUGACCACUUGAUGGCCUUUCAGCACGCUUUGUUUGCGUGAUCCUUUCAGUUCUGACUAAUGAUAGCUUAGGCGAACGUUCUACCAGGAAAAUGCAUGCGUUUACGUCACCCGUUCAUACCAACCAAUUGGCAGCUCAUGCUCGUCUUUAAAGGAUUACGGCAACGUUUUGGGAAAUUAGUGUAUUUACCGUCUACCAGAGUUAGAUCAGAGGAUACAUACCCUUCUCUUCUCUGUGUCUGCAACAACCCAGUCUGACACCAGUAGCCUAUUUUAGCAUAGCCUAAUUCACUGGAUGUGGGCUACAUCAGUUAGCCUUUAUCUUCCUUUUAGCUAGGGGCAAAUAAGAUAAUUUCCCCCAAAAAAGCUGAAGUGUUAGAGUGUCCCAUUCACUUCGCUCCUACUUUCAGCACACAGAC